CAGAAAUAUUAUUUAAUCUGCAACGCAAUCCAACAAUUAGGUUAAACUCAACAGGCUAAUCUUCUGAUUUCUGUACAGGUUUGUAUAACAGAGCUGCUUCUACAACAGAAUGGAAACCAAAUCCGAUCUGAUCUGUAAUGUCUGACCAGUUGGGGAAGAAGUAUGCUGAUUUCUGUCUGUCAUUUUUCUUUCAAGAAAUGAAUAAGUGAUCAUGAGGAAUCAGUUAAGGGAAUAUCUUAAGGAGUAAAGCACAUGUCAGUGUUGUCAGAUGUUACAUGGUAGCUGUCAGAGUUUUGACUGAUGUACAAGGACUACCUGCUCAUGUUUGCCCUUCCUUUCUGUUGAGUGCACACAGUGCUGUUUUUGUUAUUCUAAGACCAUAUUUGUCUCGCUGGGAGUCAUUUUUCACUCAAAGGAAUGUGGUUCUGCUGCAUCUCUUCAAGGAAUCAUAGGAGCCCUGCGGUUUCUAUGAACUCAGAUGUUUUCUGGAUAUCAGCUGCGAAAAUCAUGCAUUCACAAGAAUUGAAGCUGCCUGACAAUCCCUGGAGGUUAGACCCUGCCAUUGAAAAGUCCCUUCUACAGGAAUGACUGUUAAUAGAGAAUAAAAACAGUCCAGCUGUGCCAGACAGAUUUUUAACAUGCAUAACAAUGAAAAAGAAUACAUGAUAGCUGUGCGUAGGCAGCCUAGCUCGCCAUAAAUGAGAGAAAGAAUUGAAUUUUCCACUACCUCAACACUUCCCAGGAAAUGUUUGCUUGCUUCAUUCUUCCUAAAAUUUCAAUGUUUUGCCUCCUUUCCAAUUUUUUUUUAAGUUCAUAUUAUCUAUGUCUGAUUUCUUGCUGGUUUGAAAAUUCAGCAGAUUGUUGAUAGGAAGGAGGGAGGGAAGGAAGGAAAGUUCACCAGAUUUUGAGAUGUUUUACGCAUUCUUACUAUGAAGUUGAUUUUCUUGUCUCUUUGAUAUAAGCUCAUAUUCAUCCUUUAUAAUCUCAUAAUUAUCCUUGAAAAGAUGUGACUAAUUUUUACUCAAUUUUUAUUACAAAUUUCCCUAACGCUCACCAGAAGGCCGUGAGAAUUCUUUCAGCUGUGCUUUUAGCUUUACUAUUUUGUCUACAAUGUCCUUUUGAGCAUAUAUUUGGCAUUGUUUACUUAUUCUAAAUUCUUAUCUUCCUUCAUCAUCAGUAUAACAAUUGAGUAAAGAAUCAAAAAAUGACCAUUGGGAAAUGAUUAUUUUUCUAUAUAUUUAUCUGAACUAAGAAUUUGUAUCAUCUUAAUUGAAAACUGAAGUAAUAAAUUAGGUAUACAUUAGUGUAUUUGAGCAAGGGAUGUGAGGGCCACUCUGAAAGUAAUGCCUCUUAUUUUAUUAUGUUGACCCACAAUGUUGGUGGCAUUGCAAUAGAAGUGGAACAUUAUCACCAAUAUCCUGUUACAUUUUGUUACCUUGGAACAGAUGGCAGCAGAGGGGCAAUCUGACAAAUUGGUAUCUGAUGUGGAAGUGCAUAUGGAGCAGACUUGUCACUGAAUUCCUCUAUGUGGAAACAGUUCAAUUCAUCGACAUUCUUUGAUGCUUGCUAAAUGUUUAUGGAGACCAAACAGUGGAUGUUGGCACAGUGGGGUGGUGGGUGGUGAGUUUCAGCUAGGGUGACAGUGACAGGGGGUCACCUUUGCUGGUGCGAAUUUUUACAAGUGCGACAUGCAGGCUUGUUUAUCACUGUCAAAAAUAUGCAUCUAAUAGUGGUUACUAAUGAUGGUUGACAAGUAGUAUUUUUUAGCUGAGAAUUUGC
ensembl:lncRNA